AUGCCCCACAAUACGCGGAAAUCACGGAAGAUUUAGAAGAACGAAUAUGGACCAAAUAGAAGAGCAAUUGGCAGAAGAGAUCCGAAAGUAUGACCACUUGUUUAACCCGUCACUGACUGGCCGAUUUGUCCGCCAGAAAUAGGCUAUGAGGAUCCGGAGUGGCGAUGUAAAUAAACAGUCGACGAAGAAGAAGACGUCUCUUCGUUGUGUGUUUUGUCUUUGAAAAAAAACGUUACUCCGCCUAUGGUUCUGGCGGUGAAUUGCGUUGCAACACGCGCAGCACGUUAGAAAAGUAUAAACCGCAACGAGUCCGUCGAUGCAGCUGCGUGGCCUUCCGCGGUAGGACUAUAAUUCUGCCUUAAGUUCUACCACAUGAGCUUAGUUUUUCCCAAAGACGGACAGUCAGGAAGCCUCGGAUCAUCCGGCCUCACUGUAUCGGAUCCCUUUCGAGGAUUCUCUGCAACUUCUACAGAUGCACCAUAGAGAGCAUCCUGACUGGUUGCAUCACCGCCUGGUAUGGCAGCUGCACCGCCCUGAACCGUAAGGCUUUACAGAGGGUGGUGAAGUCUGCCCAGCACAUCACCAGGACAGAGCUACCAUCCAUAGAGGACCUCUACACCCAGCGGUGCAGGAAGAAGAGCAGCCGGAUUAUUGAAGACCCCUUUCACCCCAGCCAUAAACCAUCUGGCCGACGGUACCGCAGCAUACGGGCCCGCACCACCAGGCUCAGAGACAGUUUCAUCCCCCAGGCCAUACGACUUUUAAACUCCUCUCCGUGACAUAUCUGCAUAUUUGCACUUUUGUUGUUUUAUUUUCUCCUGAGUUGUUUAUAUAUAUUUAGAUAUAAAUAUAUUAUUUUAUUUUAAUGUAUAGGUUGUAAUUACUUUGUUAGAAGAGAGCCUGAGACUCAAGCAUUUCACUGCCAGCGACUGCUUAAUGUUAUUGUUGUGCAUUUGACUAUAAAAAUCUUGAAUCUUU